AGCAGCCGCGGUAAUUCCAGCUCCAAUAGCGUAUAUUAAAGUUGUUGCAGUUAAAAAGCUCGUAGUUGAAUUUCGAGACCGGUUUACUGGUCGUGCUUUUGUACGUACUGGUAUUAUUGGUUUCUACCUUCUGAAGAACCUUGAUGUCAUUAAUUUGGUGUCUUGGGGAAUCAGGACUGUUACUUUGAAAAAAU
rnacentral:rRNA from 1 species